UGUGUAGGCGGUUUACUAAGUAUAAGAUUAAAACCUGAGGCUCAACCUCAGCUCGUCUUAUAAACUGGUAGGCUUGAGUAUAGUAGAGGCAAGUGGAAUUUCUAGUGUAGCGGUAAAAUGUGUAGAUAUUAGAAGGAACACCAGUGGCGAAGGCGACUUGCUGGACUAUCACUGACGCUGAGGCACGAAAGCGUGGGGAGCAAAUAGGAUUAGAUACCCUAGUAGUCCACGCUGUAAACGAUGAGUACUAAGUGUUGGAUUUAUCCAGUGCUGAAGUUAACGCAUUAAGUACUCCGCCUGAGUAGUACGGUCGCAAGGCUGAG
rnacentral:rRNA from 1 species